GACGAACGCUGGCGGCGUGCUUAACACAUGCAAGUCGAACGGAAAGGCCUGUCCUUCCUUGUGUUGGACGGGUACUCGCGUGGCGAACGGGUGAGUAACACGUGAGUGAUAUGCCCCCAACUUGUGUAUAAGCCUGGGAAACUGGGUCUAAUUCCCGAUAGGACUGCAGGGUGGUGCCUGUGGUGGAAACCGAUGUUCUUGUGGUUGGGGCUGAGCUCGCGGCCUAUAAGCUUGUUGGUGGGGUAAUGGCCUACCAAGGCGGCGACGGGUAGCCGGCCCGAGUGGGUGGCCUGCGAGGGUGGGACGGCGAAUCGGGCCAGACUCCUAGGGGAGGCAGCAGUGGGGAAUAGUGCACAAUGGGCGUAAGCCUUAGGCAGCGACGCCGCGUAGGGGAGGACGGCGUUCGAGGUGGAAACUCCGUUCGACCGCGAGGAAGCCGCCUGGUUGGAAGGGUGUGGAGGGAAGUGGUAGAAGAAGCACCGGCUAACUACGU
rnacentral:rRNA from 1 species